rnacentral:rRNA from 1 species
UACGUAGGGGGCUAGCGUUGUCCGGAAUCAUUGGGCGUAAAGAGCGUGUAGGCGGUCCGGUAAGUCCGUUGUGAAAGUCAGGGGCUCAACCCUUGAAUGCCGGCGGAUACUGUCGGGCUAGAGUCCGGAAGAGGCAAGUGGAAUUCCCGGUGUAGCGGUGAAAUGCGUAGAUAUCGGAAGGAACGCCGGUGGCGAAAGCGGCGCACUGGAUCCCUACUGACGCUGAGGCGGCGAAAGCCAGGGGAGCAAAGCGGG